CGCCUACAAACACCUUGUAAAGAACAGAAGAAACCAGAACCUGUCAUCAUGAACAAAUUGAUCAUUGUUUGUCUGUUGUUUGCUGUCUUGGGAUGCACGUAUGCAGAUGAAGCUGCAGAUUGUAUUUGUCCCAUGAUCUAUGAUCCUGUGUGUUCCGCAACUGGAAAAACAUUCCCAAAUCAAUGUACAAUGAACUGCUACGUUGGUGAAGUUUUGGCAACACGUGGUGCUUGUGUCACUAGAAAGUAGGCGUAACAAUCUACAAUGGACUGGUAUUAGAUACUAAAGACUGGAAAUGUUGGACUUAAAUUUGACUCUUUGAACUUAUUGUGAUUUAUAUAUUGAUUAUUAUUUUGG